AAUAUAGAAUUGUUUUAUAGUCUUUUAAAAUGCCAGUCAUAAGUUAUUUUCAGCCUAUUUGGCAAAUUGUAAGCAGCUAGUUUGGUGUACCGGAUUCUAGGGGACAUUUGCCUUUUAUUAAAAUUGUCUUUGAUUUCAGGGCCGUCAGUGUUUUUAUUGUGUAUAUGGUUUUCCUUGCAUUAAGCUGCCUGGUAUUGUUAUUGGACACGUAGUGGACAUAACGAUCGUUUUGUUGUUCUUGUUCAUGACUCGUUUCGAAGGAAUCGAUUUUCUCUUUGAUUACUGGACCAAUUGCUUUGAAAUUAUCAGUGGUUAAAAAUAGAAUUUUUUUCUCCAGAAUGCUAUUACCUUUAUUUAUUUCAAAAUUUUCUGUGGACUUCCUUUUUUUUGUGCGAAUUGGUGAUCACAAUGAAAAAUAGCGGCACCUUGUGCGAUUGCAGCGAAGAAGCAAACGUGUUCUUGCUCGCUAAGAGUUGUUGUGAACUGCGCGGUAUGUUAGUCGUUGGCGAUACCCGUACCUGGUGUUAUAAUACAGUAGUGUUUCGGAUCGCUGGUGUUACUGCAGUUGCAAGUCGGAUCAUCUUGCAACUUCAAUUGAAGCUGGCACAAGACAGGAACUAGUGAAGAUAGGACAGUUUCGGUACCGUAACACAGCACGUUCUGCGGUAAACAACAUCAAUAUGCCAAUGAAGAAGCAUUACAAUAGUGUUCAACAUGUUAUGAAAUAUGGUGGUCGCAGUUUUAUCAAUGCGAAAAAUAUUCUGGUUUAACAGCGUGAUGCAAUUAUUGUAAAUAGCUUUCGUGUCCAUGUAUUCGAGCAUUGCUCUCUUGUGUUGUUGUUCUUUGACACGUUUUCAGACACCUAGUGGAAAACCUACAUGAUCGCUUUUCUCUUUGAUUACGAGACCAAUUGCUCUGAAAUUUUCAGUGGUUACAGAUAAAAAAUUUCUCCAGAAGGUUAUUACUGUUACUUAUUUUAAAUAUUUCUGUUAGCUCUGAGAAGUAAACUCUCUCUCUAUUCGUUUAAAAUACUGACUUCUGGACUUGGCUAAUUUUAUACAUAUGUGAAUGAUAUCAAAACUUGUCAUUUAUUUCGUUCCAUCCAUGUAUUUUCAACUGUAAUAAAAAUAAAACAUACUUACGCCU